rnacentral:rRNA from 1 species
CUACGUGCCAGCAGCCGCGGUAAUACGGAGGGUGCGAGCGUUAAUCGGAAUAACUGGGCGUAAAGGGCACGCAGGCGGCUAUUUAAGUGAGGUGUGAAAUCCCCGGGCUUAACCUGGGAAUUGCAUUUCAGACUGGGUAGCUAGAGUACUUUAGGGAGGGGUAGAAUUCCACGUGUAGCGGUGAAAUGCGUAGAGAUGUGGAGGAAUACCGAAGGCGAAGGCAGCCCCUUGGGAAUGUACUGACGCUCAUGUGCGAAAGCGUGGGGAGCAAACAGGAUUAGAUACCCUGGUAGUCCACGCUGUAAACGCUGUCGAUUUGGGGAUUGGGCUUUAAGCUUGGUGCCCGUAGCUAACGUGAUAAAUCGACCGCCUGGGGAGUACGGCCGCAAGGUUAGAACUCAAAUGAAUUGACGGGGGCCCGCACAAGCGGUGGAGCAUGUGGUUUAAUUCGAUGCAACGCGAAGAACCUUACCUACUCUUGACAUCCAUGGAAUCUUGUAGAGAUACGGGAGUGCUUCGGGA